rnacentral:rRNA from 1 species
GACGUAGGUGGCGAACGUUAUCCGGAAUUAUUGGGCGUAAAGGGUGCGUAGGUGGCCUGACAAGUUAUCAGUGGCAAAUCGAGGCCCAACCUCGUGGAAACUGGUAAUACUGUCCGGCUUGAGUGCAGGAGAGGUUAACGGAACUCUAUGUGGAGGGGUAAAAUCCAUAGAUAUAUAGAUGAACAUCAAUAAAGGCGAAGGCAGUUAACUAUUCUGUUACUGACACUGAGGCACGAAAGCGUGGGGAGCAAAACGG